UACAGAGGGGGCAAGCGUUAUUCGGAAUUAUUGGGCGUAAAGGGCGCGUAGGCGGCUUUGCAAGUGACGGGUGAAAUCCCUCGGCUUAACCGAGGAACUGCCUGUCAGACUGCAUGGCUUGAGACCGGGAGAGGUGAGUGGAAUUCCCAGUGUAGCGGUGAAAUGCGCAGAUAUCAGGAAGAACACCCGUGGCGAAAGCGGCUCUCUGGAACGGUACUGACGCUGAGACGCGAAAGCGUGGGGAGCGAACAGG
rnacentral:rRNA from 1 species